rnacentral:rRNA from 1 species
GACGAACGCUGGCGGCGUGCCUAAUACAUGCAAGUAGAACGCACAGUUUAUACCGUAGCUUGCUACACCAUAGACUGUGAGUUGCGAACGGGUGAGUAACGCGUAGGUAACCUGCCUGGUAGCGGGGGAUAACUAUUGGAAACGAUAGCUAAUACCGCAUAAUAUUGAUUAUUGCAUGAUAAUUGAUUGAAAGAUGCUAUUGCAUCACUACCAGAUGGACCUGCGUUGUAUUAGCUAGUAGGUGAGGUAACGGCUCACCUAGGCGACGAUACAUAGCCGACCUGAGAGGGGGAUCGGCCACACUGGGACUGAGACAAGGCCCAGACUCCUACGGGAGGCAGCAGUAGGGAAUCUUCGGCAAUGGACGAAAGUCUGACCGAGCAAAGCCGCGUGAGUGAAGAAGGUUUUCGGAUCGUAAAGCUCUGCUGUAAGAGAAGAACGGGUGUGGGAGUGGAAAGUUCACACUGUGACGGUAUCUUACCAGAAAGGGACGGCUAACUACGUG